rnacentral:rRNA from 1 species
CUGGUCUGAGAGGAUGACCAGCCACACUGGAACUGAGACACGGUCCAGACUCCUACGGGAGGCAGCAGUGGGGAAUAUUGCACAAUGGGCGCAAGCCUGAUGCAGCCAUGCCGCGUGUAUGAAGAAGGCCUUCGGGUUG